rnacentral:rRNA from 1 species
AGAGUUUGAUCAUGGCUCAGAUUGAACGCUGGCGGCAGGCCUAACACAUGCAAGUCGAACGGUAACAGGAAGCAGCUUGCUGCUUCGCUGACGAGUGGCGGACGGGUGAGUAAUGUCUGGGAAACUGCCUGAUGGAGGGGGAUAACUACUGGAAACGGUAGCUAAUACCGCAUAAUGUCGCAGGACCAAAGAGGGGGACCUUCGGGCCUCUUGCCAUCAGAUGUGCCCAGAUGGGAUUAGCUUGUUGGUGAGGUAACGGCUCACCAAGGCGACGAUCCCUAGCUGGUCUGAGAGGAUGACCAGCCACACUGGAACUGAGACACGGUCCAGACUCCUACGGGAGGCAGCAGUGGGGAAUAUUGCACAAUGGGCGCAAGCCUGAUGCAGCCAUGCCGCGUGUAUGAAGAAGGCCUUCGGGUUGUAAAGUACUUUCAGCGGGGAGGAAGGGGAUAAGGCUAAUAACCUUGUUCAUUGACGUUACCCGCAGAAGAAGCACCGGCUAACUCCGUGCCAGCAGCCGCGGUAAUACGGAGGGUGCAAGCGUUAAUCGGAAUUACUGGGCGUAAAGCGCACGCAGGCGGUCUGUCAAGUCGGAUGUGAAAUCCCCGGGCUCAACCUGGGAACUGCAUUCGAAACUGGCAGGCUUGAGUCUUGUAGAGGGGGGUAGAAUUCCAGGUGUAGCGGUGAAAUGCGUAGAGAUCUGGAGGAAUACCGGUGGCGAAGGCGGCCCCCUGGACAAAGACUGACGCUCAGGUGCGAAAGCGUGGGGAGCAAACAGGAUUAGAUACCCUGGUAGUCCACGCCGUAAACGAUGUCUACUUGGAGGUUGUGCCCUUGAGGCGUGGCUUCCGGAGCUAACGCGUUAAGUAGACCGCCUGGGGAGUACGGCCGCAAGGUUAAAACUCAAAUGAAUUGACGGGGGCCCGCACAAGCGGUGGAGCAUGUGGUUUAAUUCGAUGCAACGCGAAGAACCUUACCUGGUCUUGACAUCCACGGAAGUUUUCAGAGAUGAGAAUGUGCCUUCGGGAACCGUGAGACAGGUGCUGCAUGGCUGUCGUCAGCUCGUGUUGUGAAAUGUUGGGUUAAGUCCCGCAACGAGCGCAACCCUUAUCCUUUGUUGCCAGCGGUCCGGCCGGGAACUCAAAGGAGACUGCCAGUGAUAAACUGGAGGAAGGUGGGGAUGACGUCAAGUCAUCAUGGCCCUUACGACCAGGGCUACACACGUGCUACAAUGGCGCAUACAAAGAGAAGCGACCUCGCGAGAGCAAGCGGACCUCAUAAAGUGCGUCGUAGUCCGGACUGGAGUCUGCAACUCGACUCCAUGAAGUCGGAAUCGCUAGUAAUCGUGGAUCAGAAUGCCACGGUGAAUACGUUCCCGGGCCUUGUACACACCGCCCGUCACACCAUGGGAGUGGGUUGCAAAAGAAGUAGGUAGCUUAACCUUCGGGAGGGCGCUUACCACUUUGUGAUUCAUGACUGGGGUGAAGUCGUAACAAGGUAACCGUAGGGGAACCUGCGGUUGGAUCACCU